UUUACUUGUGUACUCCUAAAGCAUAUUAACUUAAUGCAUAAUAAUGCAUUUUAGGUGAAUUUAGUCAUACUUUUACCAAUAGCUUCAUGCUUUUUAAGCUUGAAUGAAAUUUUCAUUUUUUAUGUUAAUUGCUUAUAAAAACAAGAGAUUUGUUUAUUUGAAUAUACAAAAUCGUUAACCACUUUUCAAUAAUACUAUUAAUCAUUAAUCAUGGUAAUAUUUGCUCUUAAAAUUAAAGCUAAACUCGAUAAUCUUAAGAAUUUACAACCUGCUGGAGGUCCUAAUAAUGGUUUACCAUAUUUUUUCAAGGUCAAGAAACGAAUUUUAUUUAUGUAAAUAUUUUAUUUAUUUUUAUUUAAUUUCAUUAAUAAUAUUUUUAAUAUAUUUUGUAUUACAGUUAAAAUGUACUCACUGUCAGGCAAUGAGUCAAAAAGAAGUUUGUAUGUAUUCCACCCAUCAAACAAUGAAGUACAAGAGUGCCUUUCUGGACUGAAACUUCUCACUCUGUCCGGCCGUCGUGAAGUCGUCGCCACUUGCCAUAUUCUUCUUUUCUCAAAAUCCUAAUGGAUUGUUGAUUUCCCCACCCUAUAAUCGCGAUUUGAGUGAGGAAUUGAGAGAUGCCAGUGCUGUCUCCUCUAACCACGGGAUCUCCGAAACCGGCAACACCUUGUCACACCGCCCUUCUUCGUCAGCAUAUAUUUCCGCCAGAAGUCGAUAGGGAAGGAGAUCUGAAAAGAAUAAUCUGGUAUGCGCGUGAACAGUGGUGAGCCAUACCACACAUUCUCAAUUCCUCAAUUUCGAUAGUUAGGACGGUAAAUGUAUUAUUGUUUUAAUAAUUUUUGAUGCAAAAUUUGGUCUUAAAAAUGAAUAUACACAUGCUGAACGGGGAAUUUGGACUCUGAACGGACAAUUUUCAAGUUUUGACUUUUACUAAUGCUUUAAAAUAUCAAAGAAUUAAGUAUUUUAGUUGCCUUUUGUCGGAAUUAAUGGUUUGGUGGGUGUUUUUGCUUUUGUGGUGCAAAUGGUAAUUCUUUAAAUUUUAGUGAAAUUUGGACAACCUAUUUGUAAAACUCCAUUUUCUUGUCAAAUCUGCUUCUAAAACCAUAUUUGUGAAUCUUCCAGACUGUCUAAUUCCACAAAGUGCUUCUGCUCCACAAACUCUAUUUCUUCUAGGGGUUCUCAUGUUGGCUGCUUUUAUUGUGUGGUCAUCCCCCUUAAUUGCUUGCUCUGUAUUUGCUUGUUUAUUUAUGACCAUAUUGUUUUCCAAAUACUCAAGCUGUAAUUUAUGUUGUUGAUUCAAGUGAUACUCAUGGAAUUGGAAUUGUCAAAGAAGAAUUUCAUGCGAUUUUGGUGGAUAGACAGUUUAAACAAUCCUAAUUUUAUUAUAGAUAUGAGGUUACAAUCAUA